AGCUUGCUCUGGUGGCGAGUGGCGAACGGGUGAGAUAUAUAUCGGAACGUACCCAAGAGUGGGGGAUAACGUAGCGAAAGUUACGCUAAUACCGCAUACGAUCCCAGGAUGAAAGCAGGGGACCGAAAGGCCUUGUGCUCCUGGAGCGGCCGAUAUCUGAUUAGCUAGUUGGUGGGGUAAAGGCCCACCAAGGCAACGAUCAGUAGCUGGUCUGAGAGGACGACCAGCCACACUGGAACUGAGACACGGUCCAAACUCAAUACGGGAGGCAGCAGUGGGGAAUUUUGGACAAUGGGGGCAACCCUGAUCCAGCAAUGCCGCGUGAGUGGAGAAGGCCUUCGGGUUGUAAAGCUCUUUUGUCAGGGAAGAAAAGGCUGUGGCUAAUAUCCACGGCUCAUGACGGUACCUGAAGAGUAAGCACCGGCUAACUACGUGCCAGCAGCCGCGGUAAUACGUAGGGUGCAAGCGUUAAUCGGAAUUACUGGGCGUAAAGCGUGCGCAGGCGGUUUUGUAAGACUGUCGUGAAAUCCCCGGGCUCAACCUGGGAAUGGCGAUGGUGACUGCAAGGCUAGAGUUUGGCAGAGGGGGGUAGAAUUCCACGUGUAGCAGUGAAAUGCGUAGAUAUGUGGAGGAACACCGAUGGCGAAGGCAGCCCCCUGGGUCAAAACUGACGCUCAUGCACGAAAGCGUGGGGAGCAAACAGGAUUAGAUACCCUGGUAGUCCACGCCCCUAACGAUGUCUACUAGUUGCCGGGUCUUAAUUGACUUGGUAACGCAGCUAACGCGUGAAGUA
rnacentral:rRNA from 1 species